rnacentral:rRNA from 1 species
GACGAACGCUGGCGGCGUGCUUAACGCAUGCAAGUCGAACGGAAAGGCCCUGCUUGCAGGGUACUCGAGUGGCGAACGGGUGAGUAACACGUGGGUGAUCUGCCCUGCACUUCGGGAUAAGCUUGGGAAACUGGGUCUAAUACCGGAUAGGAGCCAUCUUUAGUGUGGUGGUUGGAAAGUUUUUUCGGUGUAGGAUGAGCUCGCGGCCUAUCAGCUUGUUGGUGGGGUAAUGGCCUACCAAGGCGGCGACGGGUAGCCGGCCUGAGAGGGUGUACGGCCACAUUGGGACUGAGAUACGGCCCAGACUCCUACGGGAGGCAGCAGUGGGGAAUAUUGCACAAUGGGCGCAAGCCUGAUGCAGCGACGCCGCGUGGGGGAUGAAGGCCUUCGGGUUGUAAACUCCUUUCGCUAGGGACGAAGCUUUUUUGUGACGGUACCUAGAUAAGAAGCACCGGCUAACUACGUG